rnacentral:rRNA from 1 species
GACGAACGCUGGCGGCGUGCCUAAUACAUGCAAGUCGAACGCACUCUCGUUUAGAUUGAAGGAGCUUGCUCCUGAUUGAUAAACAUUUGAGUGAGUGGCGGACGGGUGAGUAACACGUGGGUAACCUGCCCUAAAGUGGGGGAUAACAUUUGGAAACAGAUGCUAAUACCGCAUAAAACCUAACACCGCAUGGUGUAGGGUUGAAAGAUGGUUUCGGCUAUCACUUUAGGAUGGACCCCGCGGUGCAUUAGUUAGUUGGUGAGGUAAAGGCUCACCAAGACCGUGAUGCAUAGCCGACCUGAGAGGGU